rnacentral:rRNA from 1 species
AACGUGCCCAGUCGUGGGGGAUAACGUAGAGAAAUUUACGCUAAUACCGCAUACGAUCUAAGGAUGAAAGCGGGGGACUUCGCAAGAGGCCUCGCGCGAUUGGAGCGGCUGAUAUCAGAUUAGGUUGUUGGUGAGGUAAAAGCUCACCAAGCCGACGAUCUGUAGCUGGUUUGAGAGAACGACCAGCCACACUGGGACUGAGACACGGCCCAGACUCCUACGGGAGGCAGCAGUGGGGAAUUUUGGACAAUGGGCGAAAGCCUGAUCCAGCAAUGCCGCGUGCAG